UACGUAGGGUGCGAGCGUUGUCCGGAAUUAUUGGGCGUAAAGAGCUCGUAGGCGGUGUGUCACGUCGAUCGUGAAAACUUGGGGCUUAACCCUGAGCUUGCGGUCGAUACGGGCAUCACUGGAGUUCGGCAGGGGAGACUGGAAUUCCACGGUGUAGCGGUGAAAAUGCGUGAGAUAUCUGGAGGAACACCGGUGGCGAAGGCGGCAUCCUGGACCAACACUGACGCUGAGGAGCGAAAGCUAGGGGAGCAAACGGG
rnacentral:rRNA from 1 species